UGCGAGUAUGACCGGAGCGGGUCACCAGCACUCGCUCCGUGCUGGUGAGGGGAACCCGGUGAGAUUCCGGGACGGUCGCGCCACUGUGAACGGACUAGCAGUCCGUGAGUCAGAUCGCCGAGCCGUGCACGGUAACUCGAA
rfam:Rhodococcus sp. MEB064 contig_16, whole genome shotgun sequence.